CGCUGAAACACCGGUUACCGUGUAAUCACUGAAGUUAAGCAACAUCGAGCCUGGUCAGUACCUAGAUAGGUAACCGCUUAGGAAUACCAGAUACUGUAAG